UGGGGACAAAGGCUACGUGUGCUUUUUCAGUGGGCUGGGAGUGGAUGCGGUGUCUCUCCGGCCUACUUGCUUCUUUUGCUUUGAACAGCCGAAAAUGGAGCUGAUAAUUUGCACUUUCAUGGAAAAGAAAAGAUGGCGUCUUCUCCAGUUGUGCGGGAGUUGGGGAUCAACACUAAGACCUACACCAUGAAGCACAGACCACUGUCUGCACACGCCAACCUUUCCUUCAGAUACAGUCUGCUGGCCUAUCAAUGUCAUCCUCAAAAAAAAAAAAAAACUUUUUCAAGAGUGACCUUUUCCAUUAGUUCUGCACCCCAUUUUGCAUUGUGUACUUGGGGGGUAUUUUUUACUCUUGUCUGACAAGAUCAACAGCUGAGCAUUCAGAGAUUUGUGCGGAUUAAAGUGUCAAGCUAUGAGUUUGAAAUUGGAGAAAUCGGCAAAGGAAAACAAGGGUGAGGAUUGAUCCCUGGGAUGCAAGCCCGGUGACGACCCUGUUCGAAAGUUGACACUGUAGGAGUUGGAGGCAUUUCUGAUCAUGACAGAAAUGUUAGUGGAGUAUAUGACUUCAGAUGUGCAUUUCGGUGGAGAAAAGCAUACUGAAGCUCAACUGAGAGGGGGGGAAAAGUCAAAAGUGAUGGCUGACAUUGAUCUAAUCCAGGAGAGAGAGGAGACAAGUUUUCAGAAUCGGUUUCAUUCAGGAUUUCAGUCAACAAGAACCAUGUGAUGCUGAAGCCUCUCAAGGAAGAGCUGGACAGCAAGCUGCUGGAAUUGAGGAAAAAAUGUCACCUGAAGAACCUGGGGAAAAACAAGUUUCUACACUCUGUGAGGACUCUAGAGGACAGCUCUUGGAGCUGAUCAUUGGGAGAGGAGAGAGCGCAUGAAGCAUCAGGAAUUCGAUGGUAGUGGAGUGGGGACUCGGGAGGACAUGGCCCACUCUGAGACCAGAUCAGAUGCAUUGGGCAAUAACUGACAGUCAGUCAGCUGAUUUGCGGUGCCAUAGAAGACUGGUGAAGAAGUACAUUGGGGCAGCACUAUACGUGUUGUACCUUAACACAUGAAAAAUAUUAUCCAUGUUCUGUGUUAGAAUCAGAGUUUUUGUUAACAUGGAUUUUGACCUGGGACUCAAGUCUUUGUUGCUUUAGGGGCUUUGGUGUCCCCGAGAAGUUUUAAUUAAAUGCUGAUUGAAACAGU